rnacentral:rRNA from 1 species
AUUGAACGCUGGCGGCGUGCUUAACACAUGCAAGUCGAACGAAGUGGCGAACGGGUGAGUAACGCGUAAUCAACCUGCCCUUCAGAGGGGGAAAACAGUUGGAAACGACUGCUAAUACCGCAUACUGAAGGAGGGGAUUGCGUCUGAUUGGCUAGUUGGGGGGGUAACGGCCCACCAAGGCGAUGAUCAGUAGCCGGUCUGGGAGGAUGAACGGCCACAUUGGGACUGAGACACGGCCCAGACUCCUACGGGAGGCAGCAGGGGGGAAUCUUCCGAAAUGGACGAAAGUCUGACGGAGCAACGCCGCGUGAGUGAUGACGGCCUUCGGGUUGUAAAGCUCUGUUAAGCGGGACGCGGUACCGGAAUAGAAAGCCACGGCUAACUACGUGCCAGCAGCCGCGGUAAUAC